UCCUUUCGAGAGCGCGAGUUGUGGAGCCUCGCAGUAACUCCAGUGGAUUACAUACUACUGUCUCUAUUAUCAGAUGACACAGAAAGGUUAAGUAAUCUACGCAAUAUCGCACAGUUACUUUGUAGCAAAACCAGGAUGAGACUCCAGAAAUGGUAACUCCAAAGGACUCACUCUGAGAAGUGGAACACUUGACUGGGCCUCAGCACCAGCUCACACCAUGUGGACCGCGGAUGAGAUUGCGCAGCUGUGUUAUGAGCACUAUGAGAGCAGGCUGCCCAAGCAAGGGAAGCCUGAGCCCAACCGCGAGUGGACGUUGCUCGCAGCCGUGGUGAAGAUACAACCUACAGCUGACCAGGCCUGCGACCGCCCUGACAGACGGGUGCAAGUGACAAAGGAAGUUGUCUCAAUGGGAACAGGAACCAAAUGCAUAGGCCAGUCCAAAAUGAGGAAGAGCGGAGACAUCCUCAAUGAUAGCCAUGCUGAGGUCAUAGCCAGAAGGAGUUUCCAAAGGUACCUUCUCCAUCAGCUCCACUUGGCAGCCAGCCUGAAAGAGGAUAGCAUCUUUGUCCCAGGAACUCAGAGAGAACUGUGGAAACUCAGACCAGACCUCUUGUUUGUGUUUUUCUCCAGCCAUACACCCUGUGGGGAUGCCUCCAUCAUUCCAAUGCUUCAGUUUGAAGAUCAGCCUUGCUGUCCUGUCAGUAGAGAUUGGGCCAAUAACCCAUCAGUAGAAGCUGGUGAUAACCUAGAAGCUUCUGAAGAUAAAAGGAAAUGUGAAGACUCAGAUAGUCCUGUGACCAAAAAGAUGAGGCUUGAGCCCAGGACUCCUGAUGGUAUGGCUCACCAUCAGAGUUUUGGCAACCAGGAAAGUGGCCCUAAUUCACCAGAUGUCAGCAGCUCUAAUCUCACUGCAGAGGAACCAGCCGCUGUCACUGGAAUGGCCCCCGGUGGCGCCAAAGUGGUGGACGUUUAUAGAACUGGAGCCAAGUGUGUGCCUGGAGAAGCUGGAGACUCAGGGAAACCUGGUGCUGCCUAUCACCGGGUGGGGCUGCUCCGAGUGAAGCCAGGCCGGGGGGACAGGACUUGCUCCAUGUCCUGCAGUGACAAGCUGGCACGGUGGAACGUCCUCGGAUGCCAGGGGGCACUGCUGAUGCACUUCCUGGAAGAGCCCAUCUACCUGUCAGCUGUGGUCAUUGGGAAGUGCCCGUACAGCCAGGAGGCCAUGCAGAGAGCACUGAUUGGGAGGUGUCAGAAUGUCUCAGCUUUACCCGAAGGCUUUGGAGUUCAAGAAGUGAAAAUACAGCAGUCAGAUUUACUAUUUGAACAGAGCCGCUGUGCAGUACAGGCAAAAAAGGCUGAGAACCAAGGCCGACUUGUUCCUUGUGGGGCAGCCAUCAGCUGGAGUGCAGUUCCUGAGCAGCCACUGGAUGUCACCGCCAAUGGCUUUCCGCAGGGAACAACAAAGAAAGGAAUCGGACGCCUUCAAGCCAGAUCCCGAAUCAGCAAAGUAGAGCUCUUUAGAUCAUUCCAGAAGCUGCUAAGCAGUAUUUCAGAGGACAAGUGGCCAGACUCCCUCAGGGUGCAGAAGCCAGUGACGUACCACAAGUACAAGGAGGCCGCAUCCACUUACCAGCGGGCCUGGAGCACACUCCGGAAGCAGGCAUUUGGAUCCUGGAUCAGAAACCCACCGGAUUAUCAACAAUUUAAAUGAGCAAAGCUUACUGGCAGCAGGGUGUUUUCCAUUCAUUCAUUCUGGACUGCCUUCUUCCUACAUGCUGGAUAAGCCUUAGGUUUUCUUGUGGCUGAUCAGGAAAAAAAAGACUGCCAUCUACCAGAGCAAAAUAUCUCUUCUGUGUGAGAUGGAUGGAAUUCUGGACAUGGAACAAUCUAUACUUGACUGAAGUAGCUCACUGCUAAAACAGCAUCUUGCUAAUGACCUUGGUGUGUGUCCUGUGUUUUAUUGCUUCUCUAAGAAUAAGAAUUUGGAACGUGAUGCUUUAAAAGUACUCUGCAAUAGCUCCAUUUUGUGUGUUCCUACAUUGAUUCAGCAAGUACUUAUUGGGCUGAGAUGAUGUUUGAAUCUCUGCAAGUUUUAGAGUUUCUCCUGUCAUAGUGGACACGUAUUUUGUAUAUCCAGCCUUUUUUCCUUUGGAGAACCACCCUUUCCUGCUUUACCCAUGCUUGGAUGAAGCGAACUUUACUCCUUGGCUCCAGGAAUGUGAGCCAGCCCUGAACAGUCCUGGAACUAGUGCCAGAGUGAUCAGGUAACCUUCCCCCCCACCGCCCCAGCUCCCUGGACUUCUGCCAUGUCCUGCCUGCUGUCUGCCAUCUACAGUGGAGUGUCACUCCAGGACCCUUUUGCUCCGGACAUGGCUGGUCUAUUUGAAGAUUUAUAAUUCGUACCUAACAUGAUAAAGAAUGAGUGGGCUGAUUCCUGUGGAAGCUCGCCCCGCCAGAAACCCUGUGCCCCAGAGAUCUGCAUCAGCGUCAUCGAAGGGAAGUUACUUUCCUCACACGUAAUGCAAAAAGCUCUCAUAUUGUAUCUGUGAUCCAAAGAAGUCCUGCCCAAGCUUCCUAAGAACCCUGCAGAAAUAGAUAUUGCUCAAACUAAACAUGUGUGGGUGGGAGAGCUGGCUUUCCCUUAGCAGUAAAACAGACUGCAGCAGAGGAGACCUAAUCUAGUUCUCUGCCAUGAAGGCGAGCUGCACUGGCUCCAGAGUGAGACUAGUAACACCUGGAGCCCCAGGUGAGCUCUGGCCACAUGACUGCUCUAUCAGAGAUAAGCAGGAGGUGCAGACAUGUGCUAAACCUCAGCAUGACCGUGCGUGGUGGGGUCAACCAGAACCAGCGCGGACAAAGCAGUCUGAGAGCCGGCUCAAGAUGACAGAGGUCACUAAGCCCGGACAGGUCUUAACAGAUGCUUAAAUGCAGGACUCAGGAGAACAAGGGCCAGAGGGUAGAUAAAGAGGGGUCGGAGGCCUCAAGCUGGUGAAGCAAAGACUGCCCCAUGCUGCUGCUCUGCUGCUGGCAGCUGUAUGGGACCACCAUGUAAACAGGAAUGCAGACCACAUUUAUAAAAGGGAGUUUUUCUCCUUUCCUACUCUCCCUGCCCAUUUUCAAGCUUAGCUGGUUCGGCUGUGUGGGUAGAUGAGAACUAGUAAUAACGUAGGAGUGGAUGAGUAUGAAUACAAAAUGGCCUGUCACUGGCAUCUUGUACAAUAAAAUCGUGCUUCCUGCGAGGAUCUAACUGGAAUUUGUAAAAUAAGGACUCCCUGAAACAGCACUGUCCACUAGAAAUUUCUUCUGUGACAGAAAUGUCCUAUAUUUCUGCUGUCCAAUGCAGUCGCCACUAUGUUCAGCACUUGAAAUGUGGCUCAUCUGAAUUGCUAUGUGCUGUAAGUGUAAAACAUACGCAAGAUUUCAAAGUAUCAGAGUAUGAAAAAAAAGAUGUAAAAUAUCUCAAUUUUGACUACAUGUUGAAAUGAUGCCAUUUUGGAUAUAUCAGGUAAAAAAAUACUAUUAAAAUUAAUUUCACCUGUUUCUUUUUCUUUUUUAAUGUGGCUACUAGAGAAUUUUAGAUUGCGUAUGUGUCUCACAUGCCAUUUCUAUUGACCACACUGCCCUGGAACGUGUGAGGACUUGGGGGGCAGCGGGUAGAGGGAGGAACCCAUGCCCAUGAGAAUAC